GCGAUGAGAAGGUGGCCAUCUACCAAACGGUGACAGAGCUCUAAUUGUGGUGCAGCAGCUGAAAGCUUGUUGACAACCAUUUCCAUGCAUUAGUGAGAACCACUGUACUUUAGUUCCAUUAAAACAAUGUCUCUCCAGCCACUCCUGGGCACACGACAGGCCACCGCGUUUUAAAUGCGAUGAAGUGAAAUUAUAAACCACAGCGGCUCAUUCCAGGUCCCCGUAUGCGCCACGUACGCAAAAUGUAUGUUUUAGGCCUUUGUAAACAAGUGAUUGGCUGAUUGAACUUUAAAAAGUUCAUUUGUUGAAGCGUAACAGCAGCGACUUGUUUGGAUCCAUGUGAUGUGAGCGGGCCUGAGUCUUGUCUCCCGUUUGGAUAGGUCCUCAGUGGUUCCGUCGUGUGGUAAACUCGUGAGGCUUGCGCUCCUCCCGCGUUCCUCCCCGACGAGGGAGCUGGAUCUCUUUACCUGCUGCACUCUUCCGUCUGAUCUCGUUCCCUCGUGGGGGAAGCGGGAAUGAGCGAGCAACAUCUGCUGGGGUUAUUUUAGUAAUUUGCGCUGACUCUGUGUUCUUUUUACUUUUACCUUUCACAAAGGGAAGUAAUCAAAGUACUUCUGCCAUAAAGCAAAGCGAUGAAGACAUUACAUUACCUUCUACUUGCAUCCAGCGUUCACAGCCGUCCUCCUUCAGUAGUCAGCAAGAAGAAACAAUCCCGGCUGCACACCUGGGAGGCGGCGAGGAGAUGAUCUCUGUAGCAGUCGAUUUACCCUCCACCAGGAUGUCCUGCCUGGCUAACAAAGAGAGCAGGACCACAGAAGCGGAAAUGCUCUCAUACCGGCCCCAGCGUGGGUUUUCUCGUUGUCAAAGGCAGCGUUUGCUCCGGUUCGGGUUCAGGUUCAGGUGCACGGGGCUCUGGAGGGAAGCCUGCCACGCUCGUCACAUCCGCAAUUACUCGCAUCCCGCUGAAGGGUGGCCGUGACGGGUGCACUCCCGCUGGUGUUUGCACCAAACGGCGGGAGCGGCCCGGCGAUCCAGGCACGCUGCCGGAUCCUCCAUGCCAGUGGCAGCGCGCUCCACAUGGAGGCAGAUAAAAACCUGCCUGGUGCCGGGCCACCACUGUGAACAUGCCAGGACAAGAGAGGCAAAAGGACGAGCGGUCCAACAGAGCCGCUGUUGGCUUUCAGUGCGGCUGCUGAAGUAAAGUGGAUAAGAAGUAGUCUGAAAAGAGCCCUGCGGGGUCGGAUCCGGUCGGCUUUGUUUUGACUGGGAAAGGAACUGGCUUCAGAAAGGACCGACACCUCUUGCAGACUACGUUGUUUUGAUUUUGCAUAGAUGCAAUUGCUCAUCAUUCCGCACUUAAUAAAAAAAGAAAUACUCUAAAAUAAACCUUCA
rnacentral:lncRNA from 1 species